rnacentral:rRNA from 1 species
GACGAACGCUGGCGGCGUGCCUAAUACAUGCAAGUAGAACGCUGAAGAGAGGAGCUUGCUCUUCUUGGAUGAGUUGCGAACGGGUGAGUAACGCGUAGGUAACCUGCCUGGUAGCGGGGGAUAACUAUUGGAAACGAUAGCUAAUACCGCAUAAAAUUGAUUAUUGCAUGAUAAUUAAUUGAAAGAUGCAAUUGCAUCACUACCAGAUGGACCUGCGUUGUAUUAGCUAGUUGGUGAGGUAACGGCUCACCAAGGCGACGAUACAUAGCCGACCUGAGAGGGUGAUCGGCCACACUGGGACUGAGACACGGCCCAGACUCCUACGGGAGGCAGCAGUAGGGAAUCUUCGGCAAUGGGGGGAACCCUGACCGAGCAACGCCGCGUGAGUGAAGAAGGUUUUCGGAUCGUAAAGCUCUGUUGUAAGAGAAGAACGGGUGUGAGAGUGGAAAGUUCACACUGUGACGGUAUCUUACCAGAAAGGGACGGCUAACUACGUGCCAGCAGCCGCGGUAAUACGUAGGUCCCGAGCGUUGUCCGGAUUUAUUGGGCGUAAAGCGAGCGCAGGCGGUUAGAUAAGUCUGAAGUUAAAGGCUGUGGCUUAACCAUAGUAUGCUUUGGAAACUGUUUAACUUGAGUGCAGAAGGGGAGAGUGGAAUUCCAUGUGUAGCGGUGAAACGCGUAGAUAUAUGGAGGAACACCGGUGGCGAAAGCGGCUCUCUGGUCUGUAACUGACGCUGAGGCUCGAAAGCGUGGGGAGCAAACAGGAUUAGAUACCCCGGUAGUCCACGCCGUAAACGAUGAGUGCUAGGUGUUAGGCCCUUUCCGGGGCUUAGUGCCGCAGCUAACGCAUUAAGCACUCCGCCUGGGGAGUACGACCGCAAGGUUGAAACUCAAAGGAAUUGACGGGGGCCCGCACAAGCGGUGGAGCAUGUGGUUUAAUUCGAAGCAACGCGAAGAACCUUACCAGGUCUUGACAUCCCUCUGACCGCUCUAGAGAUAGAGUUUUCCUUCGGGACAGAGGUGACAGGUGGUGCAUGGUUGUCGUCAGCUCGUGUCGUGAGAUGUUGGGUUAAGUCCCGCAACGAGCGCAACCCCUAUUGUUAGUUGCCAUCAUUCAGUUGGGCACUCUAGCGAGACUGCCGGUAAUAAACCGGAGGAAGGUGGGGAUGACGUCAAAUCAUCAUGCCCCUUAUGACCUGGGCUACACACGUGCUACAAUGGCUGGUACAACGAGUCGCAAGCCGGUGACGGCAAGCUAAUCUCUGAAAGCCAGUCUCAGUUCGGAUUGUAGGCUGCAACUCGCCUACAUGAAGUCGGAAUCGCUAGUAAUCGCGGAUCAGCACGCCGCGGUGAAUACGUUCCCGGGCCU